rnacentral:tRNA from 1 species
GGCCCUUUAGCUCAGUGGUUAGAGCCGCUGGUUCAAGUCCAGCAAGGGCCACCA